rnacentral:rRNA from 1 species
UACGAGUGCCCCAAGCGUUAUCCGGAAUCAUUGGGCGUAAAGGGUGUGUAGGUGGUCUAGUUAGUCUUCUGUCAAAUUCUUCGGCUUAACCGGGGUCCUGCAGAGGAAACGGCUAGACUAGAGUGUGCAAGGGGUGAAUGGAACUCAUGGAGUAGGGGUGAAAUCCGUUGAUAUCAUGGGGAACACCAAAAGCGAAGGCAAUUCACUGGGGCAUCACUGACACUGAAACACGAAAGCGUGGGUAGCGAACUGG